rnacentral:rRNA from 1 species
GUGCCAGCAGCCGCGGUAAUACAGAGGGUGCAAGCGUUAAUCGGAAUUACUGGGCGUAAAGCGCAUGUAGGCGGGUAUUUAAGUCGAUUGUGAAAGCCCUGGGCUUAACCUAGGAACGGCAGUCGAUACUGGAUACCUAGAGUAUGGUAGAGGACAGUGGAAUUCCCGGUGUAGCGGUGAAAUGCAUAGAUAUCGGGAGGAACACCAGUGGCGAAGGCGACUGUCUGGAUCAAUACUGACGCUGAGAUGCGAAAGCGUGGGGAGCAAACAGGAUUAGAAACCCCCGUAGUCC